rnacentral:rRNA from 1 species
CCUACGGGGGUCAGCAGUGGGGAAUAUUGCACAAUGGGGGAAACCCUGAUGCAGCGACGCCGCGUGAGUGAAGAAGUAUCUCGGUACGUAAAGCUCUAUCAGCAGGGAAGAAAAUGACGGUACCUGACUAAGAAGCCCCGGCUAACUACGUGCCAGCAGCCGCGGUAAUACGUAGGGGGAAAGCGUUAUCCGGAUUUAAUGGGUGUAAAGGGAGCGUAGGCGGCAGGACAAGUCUGGAGUGAAAUCCCGGGGCUUAACCCCGGAACUGCUUUGGAAACUGUGCGGCUGGAGUGCAGGAGGGGUAGGCGGAAGUCCUAGUGUAGCGGUGAAAUGCGUAGAGAUGAGGAGGAACACCGGUGGCGAAGGCGGCUGACUGGACUGUAACUGACGUUGAGGCUCGAAAGCGUGGGGAGCAAACAGGAUUAGAUACCCUAGUAGUC